UCUGAUACCAAUUGUUGCGGAAGCGACGAUAAUAUUAAUAACAAUAUUAUCAGAAAUAUUUAGAUAAUUAUUAUGCCAACAAUUAUACUAAGAAAAUUCCCAGUUAAAUUGGAGGGGUCACAAAUGGUCCCGCUUAAAACCCAACAACUAGACAGAACUCACUUAGAUAUUUAUAGCAAUAAUAACUAAAUAAAUAUAACCAACAUAAAGCUAUUAAAUAUAAGCAAACAAAUAAGAAAUAAAAUACCAGAGAUUUAACGAGGUUCGGCCAAUUUAGCUUACGUCCUCGGACACUACCAAAUUAAUAUUUCCUCUAGAAAUAUUACAAAGGAGAAGAUUUUGGGAUGAUACAACCAAAGGGGGAUGGGUUCUAUAUAUAACAAACCAAACCCCCUCCCUUUCUAUCUUUUCCUAAUGUGGGAUAUUGCCAAUAUUCAACAA
rnacentral:lncRNA from 1 species